GAUGAACGCUGGCGGCGUGCCUAAUACAUGCAAGUCGAGCGAACAGACGAGGAGCUUGCUCCUCUGACGUUAGCGGCGGACGGGUGAGUAACACGUGGAUAACCUACCUAUAAGACUGGGAUAACUUCGGGAAACCGGAGCUAAUACCGGAUAAUAUAUUGAACCGCAUGGUUCAAUAGUGAAAGACGGUUUUGCUGUCACUUAUAGAUGGAUCCGCGCCGCAUUAGCUAGUUGGUAAGGUAACGGCUUACCAAGGCAACGAUGCGUAGCCGACCUGAGAGGGUGAUCAGCCACACUGGAACUGAGACACGGUCCAGACUCCUACGGGAGGCAGCAGUAGGGAAUCUUCCGCAAUGGGCGAAAGCCUGACGGAGCAACGCCGCGUGAGUGAUGAAGGUCUUCGGAUCGUAAAACUCUGUUAUUAGGGAAGAACAAAAGUGUGAGUAACUAUGCACGUCUUGACGGUACCUAAACAGUAAGCCACGGCUAACUACGUG
rnacentral:rRNA from 1 species